AUGGAUGAAUUCCGCGGCUAAGGAGUCUGGGGGUACAUUCUAUUGGAGACUUGAUCAUAGAAAAUUUUUAAUAAGCCAUCUUUGUAUGUUUUAUUUCCAUUCUCACCAAAAACAAUUAUGUUUCAGUAGUGAAAGCUGAUAUAGGAUUGUUUGGCACAUACAAGUUGGCGAUUGUUUAUUCUUCUAUUUUGGACUUGACUUGACAUUGAUCCUCUCUCCUAGAUGAUCAAUGUGAAGAUUGUUUUGUAUACCAAACAGGUAAAGCUUUUGCAAUCUUAUUUUUAACGCAGGCAG
rnacentral:misc_RNA from 1 species